AAUGGAUCAAUAAAAUACUAGCCUAGCCUGGCUUAGCCUUUAAAGCACGGAGAUUUUCCAUCUACUUUACCUGCAAGCAACUAUCUGUUAUGUCAUUUUAUUAAUAUGAAUUGCAAGAUUAACUUCAGUGAAUUAGAAAGAGAAAAUGAGAAAUUGGCCCAAGACAUCGAUGAAAUUCAACAUGUUCUUGCAGUUCACAAGAAUGGAAGUAAUACAGCUCAACGUGCAACAUCAUCAAUAUGGGGUGCUGGAGGAAAAGGACCAUUAUCUGGGUUCAAAUCCAGAAAAUCUAUUGUAGACAAGAGCAAUAAAUUGAAAGUAAAAGAAGUAAAAAAUUCACCAGAGGCUACUAUACCACGUACUAAAAACAGGCAAUUUGAUGAUAGAAGUAAAUUGAAAGUUGGCGAAAAACAAUCGCAGUUGAAAUCUACUGCCGAAAAGCGUGGAGAAUGGAAGAGAAUGCAAUCCAGAAGAGUUUCUUUUAAUAUUGAUGACACUCCUAAGAACGAAUUGCAUGAUGGGAUACAUGAAGGCACUAACCGUCACUCAGACUCAGUUGAUACUACCAACGUGGUGAGAGUAUCUGGUGACGAUUCUGCAAACGUGGCGAGAGGACCUGGUGAUGAUCCUGCCCACGUGAUGAGCGAAUCUUGUCACGAGACAACAGAAGAAAAAAUAGCAGCUUUGAAGGUUAAGGUUCUCGCGAAAGCAAGUUCUAAAGUCAAACUCGAAAUGAAGAAGAAAAAGGAUCCAGAUAUUUUCAAGAAAGAAAAUAAAAGUUCACAACAAUUACAAAGUACAAAUAUUAGCAGAUCAAAAUCUGCAACAGCAAGAAAGUCCAGAAUCAAUUUGACAUCAAAAACAAGAGAGAAGUCUAUAGAUAGUGAAAUAACAAGUAUUUCUUGUGAAUCUCCAAAUCAUGAUUUUUCAACAUUUACCAAAGACAUCGAUAUACUAUAUCAUGCGACUGAAGCCCCUAAAAGAGGGGACACAGGGUUGGUUGGUGAAAAAAAGGGAAGUGGUUUAAUUGGACAAUCACAUAAUACGGAUUCAAUAAAUGAACCAGCUCCAGAAGUGAUAGACUGGUUGGAACAGUUUAAAAUACAAGAUGAAGACUGUUAUCAAAAUCUGAUAGAAGUCAUCACAACCAACAACCUCAUGCCAGAAAAACUUGAUGCCAUGAAGGAGAAAGACUGGAUUGAUCUUGGUUUUAAUGAUCUCUCAUGUGUGUCACAUAUUUUAAAAGGAAUUCACAAGCCACAAGUUAAUAAUAAUCAGGAAUUUGAACAGACUUUUACAAAAACUGAUCAUUUGGAGAAAGUGGAAGAUCCAAAAAAAGAUAUAGACACUGGUAACAACGCUUUAAAAUCGGCAAAGAUUCGAACUCAUUCAGCGACAAAUGUGACGAAACAACAUAAGGUGACAGAUAAGAAGGCUAGACCAUCAAGUGCAAUAAAUAUACGCUCUUCAAAUCAUCAACAAAAGAUUAAGAGGGACAAUGUUACGGGUUCAGAGAGAGGUAGUUUAAAGUCAACAUCAAUACAUGGAGCUGUUGUCAUAGCAACAAAAACAGGAGUUCCUAAAGUAUCCCAAAAAUUAAAAGAGAAACAGGAACAAGAACAAGAAAUCAAGAAAAAGAAAAUGAAGGAAGCAUUACAAAGAAAGACAGAAAGAGAUAAAAUGGCAGCUCAACAUCAAAAAAGAUUGGUUGAAAAGGAGAAAAUGUUGCAUGAGAUUAAAGAAAAUGAGGAUGAAAAAGAUAUCAGUGACUUGACUGAAAGAACAGAGCCUAAAGAGUUGUCUCUAGUAGCCCAAGGUAUUGCACUACCAGAAAGUUAUUCUCAAAGCAGAGAUGUGUAUUCAGUUGGUGAUUGUAGUGAGCCCUCUAUUCACAGCGGCGAUGUACAUGGCAGUGCAAGAAGUGCUAAACAUUUAACAGGUGAUCAGUUGAAAAAGAUAGAGCUACAGGUGAUUGGCUUACAAGAAAAUCUCAAGAUUGGAGACAGCUCUGUGGAAAGCAAUAUACUUAGGCUCCAGAAACAGCUGUCAGACAUACAAAGAGAAUUACAUGCACAGCCUGUGAAAGAGUCUAGCAAGUCUGAAAAAACAUCACCAGGGAAAGUAAAGAAAGAGAAGAAAAGCCCAGACACGUUGCACAGCAGAACUGAACUGAUGCGAGAGGUGAGGAAACAGAAAGAGCAACACAGGAAAGAAAUCAGGAUGUUAGAGUCUGAGCUUAGUCGGCUCAAACACCGUGAUCCAGUGAAGACAUGUGAAUUAUCCGAAGAAGAUAUAAACUUUAGUGAUAAAGAUAUUAUAGGAGAAGGAGCAUUCUCUCAAGUUUUCCACGGAAAGUUCAAUGGGUCAGAGGUCGCCAUAAAACGACUGAAGCAUUCACUUUCAUCGAGUGAUAAAAACUAUUUCGCUGAAGAGGUGCACCUUUUACAUGGACUGCGUCACCCCCGGAUUGUUUUGUUGAUAGGAGUGUGUACUACCGGUAAGCUACCUAUAAUGGUACUGGAGUACAUGGCAUCUGGAAGUCUGCAUCAACACCUGCAUGACAGAAGCAUACCCAGGUUAGACCAUGUGUCAUACUACCGGAUUAGCAAGGAUAUUGCACUCGGUAUGACUUACUUACACCGCCAUAAGCCACCGGUUCUUCACCUUGAUCUGAAGUCUCUCAACAUUCUUCUUAACGCCUAUGGACGGGCAAAGAUAGCUGAUUUUGGCUUCUCAAAACUUAAGCAUGAUGCAGAAGAGUUAAGUGGUCUUCGAGGCACACCUGCAUGGAUGGCACCAGAGCUUCUUGAUCCAGCCUUUGGUGAACUGUCUAUAAAGGCUGAUGUGUACAGCUUUGGUGUUAUACUUUGGGAGAUGCUUACUAGGGAAACACCAUAUAAAGGAGUCGGUGUAUUUCAGAUUCUGGAAUGUAUACGCAACAGUAAGAGACCAGAAAUACCAGAAUAUUGCCCAGACCCAUUGAAGGGUCUGAUUAACAGAUGCUGGAAACAAAAGCCUAACCAGCGACCCUCAUUCAAGGAAAUUCUGAUCUCAUUGGAGGGUUUACAAAUCCCUUUAGAGUGGCGAUCUCUAUUGUCAUCAGCAGGUAUCCCCCAUGAAGUAAUGGAAGAUCCCAAUUCAGCAAGAUCCAUUAUAAACUUAAUCAACCAAUCAGUGGACAUCCCAGUGCCACAACUAAAUGAACUAUCAUUGCAGUCACAUGAUGAGCUGAUUAAACAGGAUCACUCAUUGGCAGAUGGACGUGACAUAAUGGCAGAACCAGCCAUUUCAGGAAAUCAAACUAUGACAACAACUGAUAGAGCACCACCCCCUCCACCGUUAGUAAACUUGGCAAGAUUCAUCGAAGAACAAACAAAAAGAAUUAGUGAACCAAGACCUGUCCAUCCAGCCCAAGGGGUGUCAAAAUGUGUAAAAAGCUCCCAAAAUUCAAAGCCAUUUGCUGUACCGGCUUCAGAGCUUGCUGAUCAGAAACUGAUGCUGAAGUCCACAACGCAGGGUCCACACCCGAGCCAACUUAAAAACCUCAGCAACAUCACCAAGCAGAAGUUCACAUCAAUUGCAGAAGUCUUAAGACAGUCUGUAAAUAAUCGGAGGUUUGCAAUGAAGAUGCAGAAUGAUAGCAUUGACCAGUCCACUCUAGAUAGCAACUGGUCAGUUUCAAGCACUUAAGUGAUCGACUAGACCACCAACUGGAAGUUGAUAAAAUCCAGAGACAGUUGCAACCAGAUUUGUUUGCUAGAAUAAUAGUUUGUCCAGUCCACAACUGGUCAGUCAGUGGUGCAUAAUUGAGUUAUCUUUAUCACAUAUUAUAUUUUGCUGUACAGCACAGAAUUUAUUAUAUAAUUACGUAAAAUGAAUCCCCAAAAAUAUGCUUUUGGAGUUCCUAAAUAAUUUUAGGAUAUGUCAGGUGUGGCGCCAGUGGGGGGCACCCCCAUGUCAGGUAGUGCUGGCCCCGCCGUCGGGGUGAAAAAGCACAAUUCGUCGGGGAGAAAAAAAAAUUAUAUUUAUUUUCUACAUAUUAAUAGUCUCUAAAAUGGAUUUAAUAAGCCUUUGAAACCCCUAAAUUGUUACAAUUUUCAGGGCCUUUGCCCCCUGGACCACUUUCAAAACCUUUUAAUCGAAGCUCGACCACGCCCACAUUGCUUUCGUCUGGGGAAUCUGACCCCUCGUCGAGGGCAUCAUCCCCUCGUCGCGGACCUUGCCCCCUACCCCCCCCCCCCCCUGUGAGAUUGCUCUGACCAUCAUCAGGAGAAUGAUAAAAGAUGACUUCUGUUGGUCUUAAAUAAAGAUGGUAAUCGUCGAUGAAUUUUGUAAGACCAGUGGGAACGAUGUUGGAGUCCCUGCAUCUUUUGGAGAAAGUAUGGCCAUUGAUGAGUUUUGAUUGCUUGAUAUAAUUGCGUUCUUAGCUUUUUAAGCCAGACACUCACUGUGGAUUCUAUGGAGAACACAACGCCACGAUGCACGCACAACGGAUCCUUUUCAAUGACGAUCCGUUCAGACUGCCAUUAACAAUCAGCAGACAGUGUCACGUUGUCAAUGCACAAUGUAGUGAGUGCCCAGCUUCAACGCUCUUGUGCGGUUGCUCCCCGUAGAGCUCAACAAAAUAUUUUUUGAAGGUUUGCAUGGCGAGUAUUAUUAACAAAAUCAUUAAACUUUUGGUAAACCACCUGUAAAAUAGAAGUAUGGUUUGUGAGGUUAAACCACUGGUUGGUUGUCUCAGUGUUUUGAUGGAAUGCUCUGACUGUCAUCAGAAAAAUUUAUGUAAUCUAUGUAUUAUUAUACUUUCUGUUAUUUAACCAUUAAUUGAUGUGCUGAUAUUUAUGUUACUUAAAUUGUUAUUUAUCAAUAUAUUUAUUCCUAAGAUAAAAACUAUAUUAUCAAUGACAUUAGUGCUAUUAAGACUUCUUUCAUACAUAAAAGUGUGUAACUCACAUUUACAAGAGGACGACAUUUAGAUCAGAUAAACAUAGGCCCUAUGCCAUGUGGUUUGUAUAUCUUCACUUUCAACACUGACAUGCCUAGUUGAAGCUACGAUAUGGCAUAUUGGUCCAAUUGAUACUUUCAAAAAAUGUGAAACUUUGUUUUCGUUCAACAAUUUAAAAUAUUUUAAUGGUUUACUGUGACAUUGAGGUACUCAAAAUAUUGCAGACUCUUUGUACUUAUAUUGAUUUUGUGUGCAAUAAUUUACUUGAUACUUUGACAUUCCAUAACAUCAAGUACUAUUUCUGCCGAUAUAAUGGAUAAUUAGUUAGUAAUUGUGAGUUUUGUGAUUUAAUUCCAUUAUAAAGUGUUUGUAAUCUAUAGAGUAUGAUAUAUAUACUAUACUUACAUUAAGAUUUUUGUGGAUUUUAUUAUACUAUUGUGUGUUAAUAGACUUGUAUAUGAUAUGGAUUAUUGAUUAUGAAUAUCAUGCUUUGUGAAAAACUGUUGUGUAGAACUUGGUUGUUUGAUGUAUUCUUUGUCAGUUGUUCGUCCCAUAUUUCAUGGAGUCAACUAAGAAAGUAUAAUACAUACUCCAAGUAUUGAAAUGAUUGGAGCAUUUAUUACAUACAAAUGAUGUGUUGAAAAGGGGAAUCUAUUCAUCAUAAAAAUGCUUAGCAUUUUCUCAAAUAUAGGCCUAUGAACGGUAGGCUUACAUACCUAGUGAUGGCAAUUUUGAAUUUUGAGGGUUUAUGGUUUUGCAAUACGUUGGUAAAAUUAUCACAAAACAAGGAGGUAUUUGGAAUUUUUUUUUCAGUCUGAUGAAGUCUAAGAAAAUGUUUGGUUCUGAAUAUAUUGGAUGGCAGUUUGGUGCAGCAGUUGCAGUUCGGACUUUCAAUCGUAAGGUCGGGGUUUUGAGUCUCCGCUGUGCAGAUCAGCUUGUAUCCUUAGUCAAGGCACUUUAGCUACAUUGCUUCAGUCCACCCAGCUGUAUCAAUGGAUACCAGCAAACUGCUGGGGACUAACCUGCGACGGACUAGUGUCCCGUCCAUGGGGAGUACAACUCUCAUCCGCUUUACACUACGAAAACUGGGGAUAAGCUCCAGCCCAUUGAGCCUCUAGUGGCUCUGGAAGGAUUUAGUUUUAGUUUUUCUGAAUAAAUUAGCUUUUGUUCUAAGUCUGAUGGCUUCUAUAUGUAAUCACGAAACACUUGGCAUAACGAAUAGGUAAGGCAAUUCUAAGUUUGAACUGCGGAUUCAAGGUCAAUUGACAUAAACCUGUUGUGUGUAUGUGUUUGUUUAUGUUGACUAACCCUGAUACGGGCAUGUACAGUUUUCAAAUUGUGAAUCGCCUUAUUUGCUAAGAAAGGAUAUACUGUAAUAAAUAACAAUGUAGUGACACUCUUUA
rnacentral:misc_RNA from 1 species